GCAAGUCGAGCGGAAACGAGAAUAGCUUGCUAUUCGGCGUCGAGCGGCGGACGGGUGAGUAAUGCCUAGGAAAUUGCCUUGAUGUGGGGGAUAACCAUUGGAAACGAUGGCUAAUACCGCAUAACGUCUACGGACCAAAGGGGGGGAUCUUCGGACCUCUCGCCAUUUGAUUAGCCCAAGUGAGAUUAGCUAGUUGGUGAGGUAAUGGCUCACCAAGGCGACGAUCUCUAGCUGGUUUGAGAGGAUGAUC
rnacentral:rRNA from 1 species